AGAGUUUGAUCAUGGCUCAGGAUGAACGCUAGCGGCAGGCUUAACACAUGCAAGUCGAGGGGCAGCAUUCCAGCAAUGGAGAUGGCGACCGGCAAACGGGUGCGGAACACGUACGCCAUACCUUUUACUGGGGCAUAGCCUUCUGAAAAGAAGAUUAACACCCCAUAAUAUAAUAGAGUGGCAUCACUCAUUAUUAAAAAUUUAUUGGUAAGAGAUUGGCGUGCGUCCUAUUAGCUAGUUGGUAUGGGUAACGGCCUACCAAGGCGACGAUAGGUAGCUGGGUGAGAGCACGACCAGCCACACGGGCACUGAGACACGGGCCCGACUCCUACGGGAGGCAGCAGUGAGGAAUAUUGGUCAAUGGACGAGAGUCUGAACCAGCCAUGCCGCGUGAAGGAUGAAGGCGUUUGCGUUGUAAACUUCUUUUAUCUGGGAAGAAACCCCUUUUUUCUAAGAGGCCGACGGUACCAGAGGAAUAAGCACCGGCUAACUCCGUGCCAGCAGCCGCGGUAAUACGGAGGGUGCAAGCGUUAUCCGGAUUUACUGGGUUUAAAGGGUGUGUAGGCGGGUUUUUAAGUCAGAGGUGAAAUCCCAAGGCUCAACCUUGGAACUGCCCCUGAUACUAUUAGCCUUGAAUAUUGAUGAGGUGGGCGGAACGGGUCAUGUAGCGGUGAAAUGCUUAGAGAUGACCCGGAACACCAAUUGCGAAGGCAGCUCACUGGGCAAUUAUUGACGCUGAGGCACGAAAGCGUGGGGAUCAAACAGGAUUAGAUACCCUAGUAGUCC
rnacentral:rRNA from 1 species